GUAGUGCCCACAUACACUGAGCAGUGCAAAGGCUCCAGCUGGGUGGUUUGGAGCUGAGGAGGCUCUGGUGCUGAAAGGUGCUUAUCCCAUCUCCUGAGAGGAAACUCCCCAGAAGCCCCAUGCGAGUGGUGCCUAUUGUUUCCAUGAGCGGAGCCUCCUCUCAGUAAGUCCCUGGUUUUUGUCUUGCCUGUUGAUUUUCCCACAUCUCUCCUGAGCUCCCACAAUUCAUGCAGAACUCCUUGGGACUCU
rnacentral:lncRNA from 1 species